AGAAUCAACGCUGGCGGCGUGCCUCAGACAUGCAAGUCGAACGCGAAAGUCCCCUUCGGGGGACAAGUAGAGUGGCGCACGGGUGAGUAACACGUAGGUAAUCUACCUUUGGAUGGGGAAUAACAACCGGAAACGGUUGCUAAUACCGCAUAAUGCAGCGGCACCUAAUGGUGACAGUUGUUAAAGCGGGGGAUCGAAAGACCUCGCGUCUGAAGAGGAGCCUGCGGCGGAUUAGCUAGUUGGUAAGGUAUGGCUUACCAAGGCUACGAUCC
rnacentral:rRNA from 1 species